CUGACUUAACAGUCGACAUCCAGACAACAUGAAGGCUUCAUCUGUGUCUCUGCUCGGUGUGUCUGUGCUGCUGCUGUCUGGACUGACAGACACAGUCAUCUAUGCCUGCAGCGACCAUGGGGGUGGAACAAAGAACAAGACACAAGUUCAGAGAGAAGUGGAACUCCAACAGCAAG